CAGAAAGGGGAAUCAACUGAGGCCAGAGAUAGUGAUGACAGUGCCAGUGGGCAAAUCUCUUCCAUUUCUGCAGCUGUAGGUUUAACUCUUGGAACAGAGCAAGUCCCUUCUGAGUGGAUGACAACACUGCCUUGAAAGACUGGCCUUUGAGAAGCAAGUGAUCAUGGUAUGGGAAGAUGAGAAUUGCUUCCUGCCAAAGGUUCUGCAGGUCUCUGACACCCCUGGAACUGAGCAGGGCUUGAUCUCUGGACAGUCUGUGACCUACUGAAGUGCUUCUU